GACGAACGCUGGCGGCGUGCUUAACACAUGCAAGUCGAACGGUGAAGCGAGUGCUUGCACUCGUGGAUCAGUGGCGAACGGGUGAGUAACACGUGAGUAACCUGCCCAUCACUCUGGGAUAAGCACUGGAAACGGUGUCUAAUACUGGAUACGACCAACCCUUGCAUGGGGUGUUGGUGGAAAGAUUUAUCGGUGCUGGAUGGACUCGCGGCCUAUCAGCUUGUUGGCGGGGUAAUGGCCCACCAAGGCGACGACGGGUAGCCGGCCUGAGAGGGUGACCGGCCACACUGGGACUGAGACACGGCCCAGACUCCUACGGGAGGCAGCAGUGGGGAAUAUUGCACAAUGGGCGAAAGCCUGAUGCAGCGACGCCGCGUGAGGGAUGACGGCCUUCGGGUUGUAAACCUCUUUCAGCAGGGAAGAAGCGAAAGUGACGGUACCUGCAGAAGAAGCACCGGCUAACUACGUG
rnacentral:rRNA from 1 species